UGGCGGUUGACGGCAACGUUA
rnacentral:siRNA from 1 species